UACGAAGGGUGCAAGCGUUAAUCGGAAUUACUGGGCGUAAAGCGCGCGUAGGUGGUUCAGUAAGUUGGAAGUGAAAUCCCCGGGCUCAACCUGGGAACUGCUUUCAAAACUGCUGAGCUAGAGUACGGUAGAGGGUGGUGGAAUUUCCUGUGUAGCGGUGAAAUGCGUAGAUAUAGGAAGGAACACCAGUGGCGAAGGCGACCACCUGGACUGAUACUGACACUGAGGUGCGAAAGCGUGGGGAGCAAACAG
rnacentral:rRNA from 1 species